AUAAACCACAGGGAUAUUCCAUACCACCUGAUGUCAGCUCAAAUAUAAGAGAAAUAGAUGACGGUCAUACUUGCUUUGUGAUUGCUUCCAAACCUUCCUGCAUUCCAGCUGCUGGGGCCCAGCGCUCACCCGCUUUUAGGAAUUCAACUGGAAAUGCUACAGAGUUCAGCUGUCUGAGGGAUUUAUCAUCAAAUAAGUCUUAUACUGCAUUACAGAGGAUGGAGUGGAACAAAGAGAAUAAUUUUGUGUGAAAAAUGACCUAAGCCCUCUCUAGUAACCAAAAGAAAUGGAUGAACCAAAGAAUGUAUCAAAGGAGGAAGAGGUUCAAGUGAGAAACAGAAGAGGACAGAUGUCUGUGGGAAGAACUUGGGAAGAAAUGGAUGCAGGAAACAAGGUGUCUGAGAUUAAUUAGGACUAAAGCAGUACUAAAGAGUGCUAGGAAAUGUAGCAAAUGAAAUUUUUUAAUAAUGUGGUUGAUCAAGAAAAAAAUUAAAUAUAACAACUUAGUAUAAAAUCUACAUGAAUACAUACAAAGUCCUGACCUCUCCAAAGACCAUAAAUAUUGGUGUUCCGUUUGUUUCCUGAGAGUCUGCUUAUCUUCCAUCCUUCAGCUGCUGUUCUCUGAUAUUUCCUAGUUUAUGCUUCCCAUCUAUAACAGCGCUUCAAUUUAUAAAACAGGUUAUGACAUGUGGAGUAGUUAAAGGUAAAUCUCAUGCCUUG